UUCCCAGGAUCCAAUUAUUGGUCUGUUCUUUUCCUUUUCUCCCAGCCUUUCCAUCCGUGCACAGGCCAGGUUGGGCAGGAAAUAAUGAGCCAUGUCUAAUAGAAGCCACAACCCUGCUGCUAACUUGACUGACCCUGACAAGGUUUUUGAUUCCUUUAGAUCCUGAGGUCUGUUAAGUGAGUGAUGGAAUUUCAACCCAGUGUUGUCUUAGGAAAGAAGGCAGAUCUACUGGCUGGAGGUGUAACUUUGUAGUGGGACGCUUCUCUGCAACGUAGAGUCUUAGGUUGCAUGGCUAGGCACUGAAAUUAAACAAACAAACAAACAACAGUAAAAAACAACAAAAGAAAUUUGUUGGCUGAAAAAUCCAGGGAGAAUGCUCUUCAAGCACAUCUGGAUUCAGGUCUCAAACACGCUGCAGGAUCUGUAUCUCUUGGUUCCAUCUUCCUCUGGGAUGAUUUCACGCUCAUCUGGGGAAAGGUGACCCCUAAUGGCUCAACCCA